rnacentral:rRNA from 1 species
CCUUGACAUACUAAGAACUUCCAGAGAUGGAUUGGUGCCUUCGGGAACUUAGAUACAGGUGCUGCAUGGCUGUCGUCAGCUCGUGUCGUGAGAUGUUGGGUUAAGUCCCGCAACGAGCGCAACCCUUUUCCUAUUUGCCAGCGGGUCAUGCCGGGAACUUUAAGGAUACUGCCAGUGACAAACUGGAGGAAGGCGGGGACGACGUCAAGUCAUCAUGGCCCUUACGGCCAGGGCUACACACGUGCUACAAUGGUCGGUACAAAGGGUUGCUACCUCGCGAGAGGAUGCUAAUCUCAAAAAGCCGAUCGUAGUCCGGAUCGCAGUCUGCAACUCGACUGCGUGAAGUCGGAAUCGCUAGUAAUCGCGGAUCAGAAUGCCGCGGUGAAUACGUUCCCGGGCCUUGUACACACCGCCCGUCACACCAUGGGAGUUUGUUGCACCAGAAGUAGGUAGUCUAACCGCAAGGAGGACGCUUACCACGGUGUGGCCGAUGACUGGGGUGAAGUCGUAACAAGGUAAGCGUAGAUGA